rnacentral:RNase_P_RNA from 1 species
UAAGGGUGAAACGGUGGGGUAAGAGCCCACCGGCGUUCGGGGUAACCCGACGGACGGGCAAACCCUUCCCGGAGCAAGGUCAAGCAGAAACGCCUUGAGGGUUGCCCGCCCGAAUCCGAGGUUUUCCUCGGAGGCGUUUCGGGUAGACCGCUAAGAUGAAUGACCGCCGCCCUUUACGGGAACAGAAUUCGGCUUACCGCCUCCUCCCCCAA